rnacentral:rRNA from 1 species
CUCGUUGAUCCUGCGAGAGAUUGCUGCUUUUCGAGUUCUACUAAGCCAUGCAAGUCAAGGGGGUUUUUCGGAACCACCGGCGUCAUGCUCAGUAACAUGUUGAUAACCUGCACUUAGGUAGGGGAUAGCCUUGGGAAACUGAGGGUAAUACCCUAUAGGAAAUUUAUUCUGGAAUGAUUAAUUUCUCAAAGUUUUUCGCCUAAGUAUGGGUCAGCACCCGAUUAGCUUGAUGGUGGGGUAAAGGCCCACCAUGGCGACGAUCGGUAAGGGCCUUGAGAGAGGUUGCCCUGAGAGGAUCACUGAAACACUGGAUCCAGCCCUACGGGGUGCAGCAGGCGAGAAUUCUUUACAAUGCACGAAAGUGUGAUAAGGGGACUCGAAGUGCUCAUGUAAUGCAUGGGCUUUUUACAAAGGUAAAUUCUUUGUAGAAUAAGUGGUGGGCAAGACUGGUGCCAGCAGCCGCGGUUAUACCAGCGCCACUAGUGGCAAUCAGUAUUAUUGGGCCUAAAGCGUCCGUAGCUGGUUUAGUAAAUCCUUUGUGAAAUUGAUGGACUUAAUUCAUCGAAUUGCUUAGGACACUACUUUACUAGGGAGUGGGAGGAGCUAGAAGUAUUAUGGGGGGAGCGGUAAAAUGUGAUAAUCCUCGUAAGACUACCUGUGGCGAAAGCGUCUAGCUAGAACACAUCCGACAGUCAGGGACGAAAGCCAGGGGAGCGAACCGGAUUAGAUACCCGAGUAGUCCUGGCCGUAAACGCUGUGAGUUUGGUGUUGCAUAUCUCAAGAGGAUAUGCAGUUUCUUAGCGAAGGCGUUAAACUCACCGCCUGGGAAGUACGGUCGCAAGACUGAAACUUAAAGGAAUUGGCGGGGAAGCGCUACCAGGGGUGAAAUGUGCUAUUUAAUCCAAAUCCACGCGGAGAAUCUCACCAGGGGCGAUGGCAAGAUGAAAGUCAAGUUAAAGUCUUUACUCGAUGGGCCAAGAGGUAGUGCAUGUCCAUCGUCAGCUCGUGCCGUAAGGUGUCCAGUUAAGUCUGUAAACGAGCAAGACCUAUAUCUCCACUUGCUAACGCGGGAUACGUCCUGAGCGAGCACAGUGGAGAGACUGCUGUGGAAACGCAGAGGAAGGUGUAGGCAACGAUAGGCCUGUAUGCUCCGAAUCUCCUGGGCUAUAAGUGCAUUGCAAUGGCAUGGACAGAAGGAUGCAACACCGAAAGGUGAAGCUAAUCCCAUAAACCAUGUCUCAGUACGGAUUGUGGUUUGUAACUCAGCCACAUGAAGGUGGAAUCCCUAGUAAUCGGAUUUUAUCAUAUUCCGGUGAAUACGUCAACGCUUCUUGCACACACCGCCCGUCACAUCAUCCGAAUUGGGUUUGGGUGAAAUUCAGUUUUUUUGACUAAAUUGAACUCAGGCUUAGUGAGGAGGGUUAAGUCGUCACAAGGUAGCCGUAGGGGAACCUGCGGCUGGAUCACCUCCUU